CCUACGGGUGGCAGCAGUGGGGAAUAUUGGACAAUGGGCGAAAGCCUGAUCCAGCCAUGCCGCGUGUGUGAAGAAGGCCUUCGGGUUGUAAAGCACUUUCAGUGGGGAAGAAAGCCUUGGGGCUAAUACCCUCGAGGAAGGACAUCACCCACAGAAGAAGCACCGGCUAACUCCGUGCCAGCAGCCGCGGUAAUACGGAGGGUGCGAGCGUUAAUCGGAAUUACUGGGCGUAAAGCGCGCGUAGGCGGUCUGAUAAGCCGGUUGUGAAAGCCCCGGGCUCAACCUGGGAACGGCAUCCGGAACUGUCAGGCUAGAGUGCAGGAGAGGAAGGUAGAAUUCCCGGUGUAGCGGUGAAAUGCGUAGAGAUCGGGAGGAAUACCUGUGGCGAAGGCGGUCUUCUGGACUGACACUGACGCUGAGGUGCGAAAGCGUGGGUAGCAAACAGGAUUAGAUACCCGAGUAGUC
rnacentral:rRNA from 1 species